CAUCCAGCAGAGCUGCAGGCUAUUUUUCAUGAUUGUACAUAUAUUGCGUUGAUUAUGAUGAAUCCAAAUGAUUUUUAAAUAGGAAGCAAAAAGGGGGGAGAGGGGGAAAUAGUCUGCCUUCUGCCAGCCAGCAGAAGCUUGUGAAAGAGAUUAAAGAUGAAUAUGUCUUAUGAAAUUGUUCCUACUCUGACUUACACUGAGGAAGGAACUGGAAGCCAUGUUGGACAGUUUCACUUUCUGCAAGGAGAAAAAGACAGUGAAGAAAACUGACAGCCAGAAAAAUGAGACAAACUACUUAGUAAUUUUCAUCUCGAAUUGGAUCAUGGCCUUCAGCAAGUAAUUUCAGUUCAGCAAGCCUGCACAGAUUGAAGAAAGGUUCUUGAAGCAUGUGAAACUCCCAAAGCUGAAGAUUUGUUAAGAAAGCUUUCUGAAUCACUCUGAAUAAGUAAGGAGUCUAUGAACCUUUCCUGAACAAACUCCUUAAAUUUAUUCAAGUAAUGAUGCCAAAUAAAGAAUUAAAUGCUUACUGC
rnacentral:lncRNA from 1 species